GUGCCAGCAGCUGCGGUAAUACGGAGGGUGCAAGCGUUAAUCGGAAUUACUGGGCGUAAAGCGCACGCAGGCGGUCUGUCAAGUCGGAUGUGAAAUCCCCGGGCUCAACCUGGGAACUGCAUUCGAAACUGGCAGGCUAGAGUCUUGUAGAGGGGGGUAGAAUUCCAGGUGUAGCGGUGAAAUGCGUAGAGAUCUGGAGGAAUACCGGUGGCGAAGGCGGCCCCCUGGACAAAGACUGACGCUCAGGUGCGAAAGCGUGGGAGCAAACAGGAUUAGAUACCCUGGUAGUCCACGCCGUAAACGAUGUCGAUUUGGAGGUUGUGCCCUUGAGCGUGGCUUCCGGAGCUAACGCGUUAAAUCGACCGCCUGGGGAGUACGGCCGCAAGGUUAAAACUC
rnacentral:rRNA from 1 species